rnacentral:rRNA from 1 species
UUAAGCGACUAAGCGUACACGGUGGAUGCCCUGGCAGUCAGAGGCGAUGAAGGACGUGCUAAUCUGCGAAAAGCGUCGGUAAGGUGAUAUGAACCGUUAUAACCGGCGAUGUCCGAAUGGGGAAACCCAGUGCAAUUCGUUGCACUAUCGUUAACUGAAUACAUAGGUUAACGAGGCGAACCGGGGGAACUGAAACAUCUAAGUACCCCGAGGAAAAGAAAUCAACCGAGAUUCCCCCAGUAGCGGCGAGCGAACGGGGAGCAGCCCAGAGUCUGAAUCAGCUUGUGUGUUAGUGGAACGGUCUGGAAAGUCCGACGGUACAGGGUGAUAGUCCCGUACACCAAAAUGCACAGGCUGUGAACUCGAAGAGUAGGGCGGGACACGUGGUAUCCUGUCUGAAUAUGGGGGGACCAUCCUCCAAGGCUAAAUACUCCUGACUGACCGAUAGUGAACCAGUACCGUGAGGGAAAGGCGAAAAGAACCCCGGCGAGGGGAGUGAAAAAGAACCUGAAACCGUGUACGUACAAGCAGUGGGAGCACCUUCGGGUGUGACUGCGUACCUUUUGUAUAAUGGGUCAGCGACUUAUAUUCUGUAGCAAGGUUAACCGUAUAGGGGAGCCGCAGGGAAACCGAGUCUUAACUGGGCGUUAAGUUGCAGGGUAUAGACCCGAAACCCGGUGAUCUAGCCAUGGGCAGGUUGAAGGUUGGGUAACACUAACUGGAGGACCGAACCGACUAAUGUUGAAAAAUUAGCGGAUGACUUGUGGCUGGGGGUGAAAGGCCAAUCAAACCGGGAGAUAGCUGGUUCUCCCCGAAAGCUAUUUAGGUAGCGCCUCGUGAACUCAUCUUCGGGGGUAGAGCACUGUUUCGGCUAGGGGGUCAUCCCGACUUACCAACCCGAUGCAAACUACGAAUACCGAAGAAUGUUAUCACGGGAGACACACGGCGGGUGCUAACGUCCGUCGUGAAGAGGGAAACAACCCAGACCGCCAGCUAAGGUCCCAAAGUCAUGGUUAAGUGGGAAACGAUGUGGGAAGGCACAGACAGCCAGGAUGUUGGCUUAGAAGCAGCCAUCAUUUAAAGAAAGCGUAAUAGCUCACUGGUCGAGUCGGCCUGCGCGGAAGAUGUAACGGGGCUAAACCAUGCACCGAAGCUGCGGCAGCGACACUAUGUGUUGUUGGGUAGGGGAGCGUUCUGUAAGCCUGCGAAGGUGACCUGUGAGGGUUGCUGGAGGUAUCAGAAGUGCGAAUGCUGACAUAAGUAACGAUAAAGCGGGUGAAAAGCCCGCUCGCCGGAAGACCAAGGGUUCCUGUCCAACGUUAAUCGGGGCAGGGUGAGUCGACCCCUAAGGCGAGGCCGAAAGGCGUAGUCGAUGGGAAACAGGUUAAUAUUCCUGUACUUGGUGUUACUGCGAAGGGGGGACGGAGAAGGCUAUGUUAGCCGGGCGACGGUUGUCCCGGUUUAAGCAUGUAGGCUGGUUGUCCAGGCAAAUCCGGAUAAUCAAGGCUGAGGUGUGAUGACGAGGCACUACGGUGCUGAAGUAACAAAUGCCCUGCUUCCAGGAAAAGCCUCUAAGCAUCAGGUAACAUUAAAUCGUACCCCAAACCGACACAGGUGGUCAGGUAGAGAAUACCAAGGCGCUUGAGAGAACUCGGGUGAAGGAACUAGGCAAAAUGGUGCCGUAACUUCGGGAGAAGGCACGCUGGUGUGUAGGUGAAGUCCCUGCGGAUGGAGCUGAGACCAGUCGAAGAUACCAGCUGGCUGCAACUGUUUAUUAAAAACACAGCACUGUGCAAACACGAAAGUGGACGUAUACGGUGUGACGCCUGCCCGGUGCCGGAAGGUUAAUUGAUGGGGUUAUCCGUAAGGAGAAGCUCUUGAUCGAAGCCCCGGUAAACGGCGGCCGUAACUAUAACGGUCCUAAGGUAGCGAAAUUCCUUGUCGGGUAAGUUCCGACCUGCACGAAUGGCGUAAUGAUGGCCAGGCUGUCUCCACCCGAGACUCAGUGAAAUUGAACUCGCUGUGAAGAUGCAGUGUACCCGCGGCAAGACGGAAAGACCCCGUGAACCUUUACUAUAGCUUGACACUGAACAUUGAGCCUUGAUGUGUAGGAUAGGUGGGAGGCUUUGAAGCGUGGACGCCAGUCUGCGUGGAGCCAACCUUGAAAUACCACCCUUUAAUGUUUGAUGUUCUAACGUUGGCCCCUGACCGGGGUUGCGGACAGUGUCUGGUGGGUAGUUUGACUGGGGCGGUCUCCUCCCAAAGCGUAACGGAGGAGCACGAAGGUUAGCUAAUCCUGGUCGGACAUCAGGAGGUUAGUGCAAUGGCAUAAGCUAGCUUGACUGCGAGCGUGACGGCGCGAGCAGGUGCGAAAGCAGGUCAUAGUGAUCCGGUGGUUCUGAAUGGAAGGGCCAUCGCUCAACGGAUAAAAGGUACUCCGGGGAUAACAGGCUGAUACCGCCCAAGAGUUCAUAUCGACGGCGGUGUUUGGCACCUCGAUGUCGGCUCAUCACAUCCUGGGGCUGAAGUAGGUCCCAAGGGUAUGGCUGUUCGCCAUUUAAAGUGGUACGCGAGCUGGGUUUAGAACGUCGUGAGACAGUUCGGUCCCUAUCUGCCGUGGGCGCUGGAGAAUUGAGGGGGGCUGCUCCUAGUACGAGAGGACCGGAGUGGACGCAUCACUGGUGUUCGGGUUGUCAUGCCAAUGGCACUGCCCGGUAGCUAAAUGCGGAAGAGAUAAGUGCUGAAAGCAUCUAAGCACGAAACUUGCCCCGAGAUGAGUUCUCCCUGAGACUUUAAGUCUCCUGAAGGAACGUUAAAGACGAUGACGUUGAUAGGCCGGGUGUGUAAGCGCAGCGAUGCGUUGAGCUAACCGGUACUAAUGAACCGUGAGGCUUAACCU